UGAUAAUUCUGGUAUGACUUUCGGUUGAGGUUUGGGACAGAAGUUAUUGCCCGAUACUUUCUGUGUGACUUUGGGUAGAGCGUUGGGGCUUGACAAGGCCCAUAUUGCAUCACAGAAAACACUGGAGUUUGACUAUAUAGGCGUGCCCACCUUCUGCUGCUUAUGUCUACACUAGAAGAUGGAUCUGAGGGAACUGCUUGGCAGAGUGACGUGGGAUAAAGCCUUGGAGGGAAGAGGGGCCCAAGAAAGCUGAUCCUAUUGAAGGACCAUCUCCUCCAAACUUCUUGAAAAGCAGUGCAUCUCAAGAAGAAGGAAGUCAGGCAAGAAUGCCAGGAGGCCUCCAGGGGUCAACAAGGAUCCCCAAAGCACAAAAACUUAAGCACAAAAACAAAGCCCAUAGGGAGUGGAAGCAGGAACAGAUUACAUGGAAGCACUACAAAGGAGUCAAUGGAGCAGUCAAGGAUAAGGUUAAGAAAGCUAAAACCCAGACAAAAUCUAUUCAGGGACACAAGGGGGAACAAGAAGAAAUUCUACAGGUAUACCAGUGAUAAAAGGAAGGUCCAAGAGGAUGCAGAACCUCCCCAGUAGAAACCUGGAGAUCUGUUCACAAGGGACACGGAGAAAGAUUGAGGAGCUCAAUGACUGCUUUGCCUCAGCCUUCACGAGCAAGGGCUCUAUCCACACCGCCCAAGCUGCAAAGCAAAAGGAAAGCAAAGGGAAGAACAGGGAGAAGGAAGAUCUACCUGCUGUAAGUGAAGAUCAGUUUUGACACCAUCUAAAGAACAUGAAGGUGCACAAGUCUGUGGGACCAGACAAGAUCCGCCCACGAGUUCUGAGAGAACAAAU